GACGAACGCUGGCGGCGUGCUUAACACAUGCAAGUCGAACGCUGAAGCUUGGUGCUUGCACUGGGUGGAUGAGUGGCGAACGGGUGAGUAAUACGUGAGUAACCUGCCCUUGACUCUGGGAUAAGCCUGGGAAACUGGGUCUAAUACUGGAUACGACAUGUCACCGCAUGGUGGUGUGUGGAAAGGGUUUUACUGGUUUUGGAUGGGCUCACGGCCUAUCAGCUUGUUGGUGGGGUAAUGGCUCACCAAGGCGACGACGGGUAGCCGGCCUGAGAGGGUGACCGGCCACACUGGGACUGAGACACGGCCCAGACUCCUACGGGAGGCAGCAGUGGGGAAUAUUGCACAAUGGGCGGAAGCCUGAUGCAGCGACGCCGCGUGAGGGAUGACGGCCUUCGGGUUGUAAACCUCUUUCAGCACGGAAGAAGCGAAAGUGACGGUAC
rnacentral:rRNA from 1 species